AUGAUCAUUUUACAGAUGAAGAAGAUGAGACUCAGAGCAAUACAUAAGUUGCCCAAGGUCAGAGAGCAAGUAAGUACCAGAAAUAAAAGCCACAUCUCUUGCAGUAUUCAGAAUAUUUCUCUACGGGCAGCAACAUUUUUCUCUCCUUAUCUGGAUAUUAGGAAGAAUAUCACAGGACCGGCUUACAGCGCCAGUCACAUCGUGAGCAAUGUCAUCUGUAAUCCCCUAGUUAUUAAGAACAGUGUAACGGGGGUCUUGUGUGCUUUUGGAGAUAUUUGGAGUAAUAUCCUUUUAGUUUCUGGAUAUUAGAAACAAUACUACAGUGGUGGUGUACACUUCCUGCGAUAUUAAGAGUAUACUCAUCCUCUGUCCCUGGGAUAUUAGGAACUACAUCGCAGAAGCCUUGCACUUUGCCUAUAAUAUUGGAACAAUCACAGAGUGUACACCUUCUUUCAUUGUGAGAGAAAUACCUACUUAGGAUAUGAUGGAUAAUAUCACAAAAUGGACACACAUGGCUAUAUACCCACUGUGAUAUUGGAAGUCAUUUUUAUCUAAUAUACUAAAUGUCAUAACCCAGAAAAAACUCAUAAUGUGUACACUUAUUGGGAUAUUACACUCAAUGUACAGAAUAUUUAACAUAUGUACAUUGACUGUGAUGUACAUACAUGUACACAAUACAGAUGUACAAUAAAUGUACAUAAACUAUCAUUUGUACGAAUAUAUGUACAAAAUGUGCACACAAUAGGUAUGCACAUAAUGUGUACAAUAUGUACAUUUAUUGUAAUAUCACAAUGUUAUAUAAUCACAACUGCAUAUAAAAUCACAAUACACAUGUAAUAUGUAAUAUCAAUAUAAAUGUACAUAUUGCAAACAUGUACAUUUACAUUUAUUGUGAUAUGAUAUGUAAACAUGUACAUCAUGUACCCAUUAUGUACAGAUGCACAAUAUAUGCAAGCGUACAUAUGUGGGUACAGUAUGUACAUAUGUACACUACACAUGUGUACAUAUAAUGUAGAUAUGUACCUUCUGUACCCGAGUACAUUCUAUGCACAAUAUGUACGCAUAUAAACUAUGUACACACCUGGGUGUACAACCACUUUGGUAACCGGAGAAAUUUCUAUCUAAUAUACAAAAUAUAAUAAUUCAGAAUGUAGUAAUAGUGUGUACAUUUAUUGGCAUAUUGCAAUAAAUGUAUAAAAUAGGUACAAUCUGUACAUUUACCCUGCUGUACAUAUGUGUACACAAUGCACAUGUACAAAAAAUGUACAUACUCUGUAAAAUAUGUACCUACAUAUUUCUAUAAUGUGUAAACAAUGUAUAGGUACAUAAUGUGUACACUAUGCACAUUCCUUAAAAUAUCAGUGAUAAAAUAUAUAUAAUCAAAAUAACGCAUAUAAUCACAGUAAUAUAUAUAUAUCAUGUAAUAUCACAAAAAAGUACAUAUUGUUCACAGUAGGUACGCAUUAGGUCU
rnacentral:lncRNA from 1 species